ACGAACGCUGGCGGCAUGCCUAACACAUGCAAGUCGAACGAGACCUUCGGGUCCAGUGGCGCACGGGUGCGUAACGCGUGGGAACCUGCCCUUAGGUUCGGAAUAACUCCCCGAAAGGGGUGCUAAUACCGGAUAAUGUCUUCGGACCAAGGAUUUAUCGCCUUUGGAUGGGCCCGCGUUGGAUUAGCUAGUUGGUAGGGUAAAAGCCUACCAAGGCGACGAUCCAUAGCUGGUCUGAGAGGAUGAUCAGCCACACUGGGACUGAGACACGGCCCAGACUCCUACGGGAGGCAGCAGUGGGGAAUAUUGGACAAUGGGCGAAAGCCUGAUCCAGCAAUGCCGCGUGAGUGAUGAAGGCCUUAGGGUUGUAAAGCUCUUUUACCCGGGAUGAUAAUGACAGUACCGGGAGAAUAAGCUCCGGCUAACUCCGUG
rnacentral:rRNA from 1 species